rnacentral:rRNA from 1 species
CGAUCCCUACGGGACGCAGCAGUGGGGAAUAUUGGGCAAUGGGCGCAAGCCUGACCCAGCAACGCCGCGUGAAGGAAGAAGGCUUUCGGGUUGUAAACUUAUUUGAAGAGGGAAGAGCAGAAGACGGUACCUCUUGAAUAAGCCACGGCUAACUACGUGCCAGCAGCCGCGGUAAUACGUAGGCGGCAAGCGAUGUCCGGAUUUACUGGGUGUAAAGGGCGUGUAGCCGGGCUG